UUAGGAAUUUUGCGCAAUGGGGGAAACCCUGACGCAGCAACGCCGCGUGAAGGAUGAAGGCUUUCGGGUUGUAAACUUCUUUUAGCAGGAAAGAAAAAAAUGACGGUACCUGCAGAAAAAGCACCGGCUAACUCUGUGCCAGCAGCCGCGGUAAUACAGAGGGUGCAAGCGUUAUUCGGAGUUACUGGGCGUAAAGAGCGCGUAGGCGGUUCGAUAAGUCCGAUGUGAAAGCCCUGGACUCAAUCCAGGAAGUGCAUCGGAUACUGUCAAACUAGAGUACAGGAGGGGAGAGUGGAAUUCCUGGUGUAGAGGUGAAAUUCGUAGAUAUCAGGAGGAACAACAGUGGCGAAGGCGACUCUCUGGACUGUUACUGACGCUGAGGCGCGAAAGCGUGGGGAGCAAACAGG
rnacentral:rRNA from 1 species